GCGACGCCGCGUGAGGGAUGAAGGCCUUCGGGUUGUAAACCUCUUUCAGUAGGGAAGAAGCCGGCCCUUGGGUUGGUGACGGUACCUGCAGAAGAAGCGCCGGCUAACUACGUGCCAGCAGCCGCGGUAAUACGUAGGGCGCAAGCGUUAUCCGGAAUUAUUGGGCGUAAAGAGCUCGUAGGCGGUUUGUCGCGUCUGCCGUGAAAGUCCGGGGCUUAACUCCGGAUCUGCGGUGGGUACGGGCAGACUAGAGUGCAGUAGGGGAGACUGGAAUUCCUGGUGUAGCGGUGAAAUGCGCAGAUAUCAGGAGGAACACCGAUGGCGAAGGCAGGUCUCUGGGCUGUAACUGACGCUGAGGAGCGAAAGCAUGGGGAGCGAACAGGAUUAGAUACCCUGGUAGUCCAUGCCGUAAACGUUGGGCACUAGGUGUGGGGGACAUUCCACGUUUUCCGCGCCGUAGCUAACGCAUUAAGUGCCCCGCCUGGGGAGUACGGCCGCAAGGCUAAAACUC
rnacentral:rRNA from 1 species